rnacentral:rRNA from 1 species
GAUGAACGCUGGCGGCGUGCCUAAUACAUGCAAGUCGAGCGAACGGACGAGAAGUUUCCUUCUCUGAUGUUAGCGGCGGACGGGUGAGUCACACGUGGAUAACCUACCUAUAAGACUGGGAUAAUUUCGAGAAACCGGAGCUCAUACCGGAAGAAUAAUUGAACCGCAUGGUUUAAAAGAGAAUGUCGGUCUUGCGGUCACGUAUUGCUGGAUCCGCGCUGCAUUAGCUAGUAGGUAAGCUAACGGCUUACCAAGGCUACGUUGCAUAACAGAGCUGAGAGGGUGGUCAGCCAGCCUGAGACUGAGACACGGUCCAGACUCCUACAGGAGGCAGCAGUAGGGAAUCUGCCGCAAUGGGCGAGAACCUGACGGAGCAACACCACGUGAGUGAUGAAGGUCUUCGGAUCGUAAAACUCUGUUAUUAGGGAAGUACAGAUGUGUAAGUAACUGUGCACGACUUGACGGUACCUAAUCAAAAAGCCACGGCUAACUACGUG